CAGGUAUUGAAAUAGUUUACUCUAACAAAAUUGCAUUCGAUUCGUAUUGUAUUAAGGGCAAUUCAAUUUGUUCUAUACAAUUUUUAUAACCGAAGAGAAAAAAAAUUAUGCUUUGUACUUGGCAUUAUAUAAUAUUAUAUGUUCUGAUUGUAUCAUUGUAUUUUGAAUUUUAAAUUGCCGUACGGAAUUACAAUUUAUCCAGUGAUGUUUUGCAGAGUAUUCCACGCCGUAUAUCCGUCAUUGACCAUUUGGUGAAUUAGCGUAUAUAAACCUAUACUCUGUAAAAAUAGUGUAAAUAUCCACGUUUACGAUCGUCUAUAUUAACAUGUUUAAAAAAAUAUGCGAGUAUAGUCUGUACAUACGAUUUACAAAAUUAAGCGAUCUAUUUGACUAUAUCUAUAUCUGAGCACUGUGACUGAAAUAUUUACCCUUAAAAAAAUGUAUGGUGAAUCCACCAAAUCCUUUCCUAAGAAAUUUUAAAUAUAGAUACUCGAUAAUGGCAAGUAUUAUAGAAAAUGUACUUUUUUACAUACUUUUCUAAACUAUAAUUGUAACUAGGCAUACAAUUAUCAACAUGGUUUCAAGAAUUGGUAAAAAUUAAAGUGGCCUGGAUAUAUAUUAUGUUAUAUUCGCCCGAUAAAAAUGUUCGAACCUCUCCGCCUCUGCAACGA